UGGGGAAUAUUGCGCAAUGGGCGAAAGCCUGACGCAGCGACGCCGCGUGAGGGAUGAAGGUGUUCGGAUCGUAAACCUCUGUCAGAAGGGAAGAAACCGCACUGUGCUAAUCAGCAGUGCCUUGACGGUACCUUCAAAGGAAGCACCGGCUAACUCCGUGCCAGCAGCCGCGGUAAUACGGAGGGUGCAAGCGUUAAUCGGAAUUACUGGGCGUAAAGCGCACGUAGGCUGCUUUGUAAGUCAGGGGUGAAAUCCCACGGCUCAACCGUGGAACUGCCUUUGAUACUGCUUAGCUUGAAUCCGGGAGAGGGUGGCGGAAUUCCAGGUGUAGGAGUGAAAUCCGUAGAUAUCUGGAGGAACAUCAGUGGCGAAGGCGGCCACCUGGACCGGUAUUGACGCUGAGGUGCGAAAGCGUGGGGAGCAAACAGG
rnacentral:rRNA from 1 species